rnacentral:tRNA from 15 species
GGGCGCUUAGCUCAGUUGGUAGAGCACCUCCCUUACACGGAGAUUGUCGGCGGUUCGAGCCCGUCAGCGCCCACCA